UCGAGCGCUGAUUUCAGGGUAGCAAUAUUCUGGAGUCGGAGCGGCGCAAGGGUGCGUAACACGUGGGUAAUCUGCCAUGAAGUCUGGAAUAACUUGCUGAAAGGCGAGCUAAUGCCGGAUGUGACCAUUGGGAGGCAUCUCCUGAUGUUUAAAGUUGGGGACCGUAAGGCCUGACGCUUCAUGAUGAACCCGCGGCCUAUCAGCUAGUUGGUGAGGUAACGGCCCACCAAGGCUAAGACGGGUAGCUGGUCUGAGAGGACGACCAGCCACACUGGAACUGAGACACGGUCCAGACACCUACGGGUGGCAGCAGUCGAGAAUUUUUCACAAUGGGCGCAAGCCUGAUGGAGCGACGCCGCGUGGGGGAUGAAUGGCUUCGGCCCGUAAACCCCUGUCAUUCGCGAUCAAACCUUGUUAUUUAAAAGAUGACGAGCUGAUAGUAGCGGAAGAGGAAGGGACGGCUAACUCUGUGCCAGCAGCCGCGGUAAUACAGAGGUCCCAAGCGUUGUUCGGAUUCACUGGGCGUAAAGGGUGCGUAGGUGGUGAGGUAAGUCGGAUGUGAAAGCUCGGAGCUCAACUCCGAAAUGGCAUUGGAAACUACCUUGCUCGAGGGUUGGAGGGGGGACUGGAAUUCUCGGUGUAGCAGUGAAAUGCGUAGAUAUCGAGAGGAACACCAGUGGCGAAGGCGAGUCCCUGGACAACUCCUGACACUGAGGCACGAAAGCUAGGGGAACAAACAGGAUUAGAUACCCUGGUAGUCCUAGCCNUA
rnacentral:rRNA from 1 species